AGAGUUUGAUCAUGGCUCAGGACGAACGCUGGCGGCGUGCUUAACACAUGCAAGUCGAACGGUGAUGGCCAGCUUGCUGGUCUGAUCAGUGGCGAACGGGUGAGUAACACGUGAGCAACCUGCCCUUCACUCUGGGAUAACCACGGGAAACGGUGGCUAAUACCGGAUAUGAGACGUACACGCAUGUGUCGCGUCUGGAAAGAUUUAUCGGUGAAGGAUGGGCUCGCGGCCUAUCAGCUUGUUGGUGGGGUAGUGGCCCACCAAGGCGACGACGGGUAGCCGGCCUGAGAGGGCGACCGGCCACACUGGGACUGAGACACGGCCCAGACUCCUACGGGAGGCAGCAGUGGGGAAUAUUGCACAAUGGGCGCAAGCCUGAUGCAGCGACGCCGCGUGAGGGAUGACGGCCUUCGGGUUGUAAACCUCUUUCAGCAGGGAAGAAGCGCAAGUGACGGUACCUGCAGAAGAAGCGCCGGCUAACUACGUGCCAGCAGCCGCGGUAAUACGUAGGGCGCAAGCGUUGUCCGGAAUUAUUGGGCGUAAAGAGCUCGUAGGCGGUUUGUCGCGUCUGCUGUGAAAACCUAAGGCUCAACCUUGGGCUUGCAGUGGGUACGGGCAGACUAGAGUGCGGUAGGGGUGACUGGAAUUCCUGGUGUAGCGGUGGAAUGCGCAUAUAUCAGGAGGAACACCGAUGGCGAAGGCAGGUCACUGGGCCGCAACUGACGCUGAGGAGCGAAAGCAUGGGGAGCGAACAGGAUUAGAUACCCUGGUAGUCCAUGCCGUAAACGUUGGGCACUAGGUGUGGGGCUCAUUCCACGAGUUCCGUGCCGCAGCAAACGCAUUAAGCGCUCCGCCUGGGAAGUACGGCCGCAAGGCUAAA
rnacentral:rRNA from 1 species